rnacentral:rRNA from 1 species
CCUACGGGUGGCUGCAGUAGGGAAUAUUGGACAAUGGGCGCAAGCCUGAUCCAGCCAUGCCGCGUGGAGGAAGACGGCCCUCUGGGUUGUAAACUCCUUUUAUACAGGAAGAAACCUCCCCAUUUAUGGGUGAGCUGACGGUACUGUAGGAAUAAGCACCGGCUAACUCCGUGCCAGCAGCCGCGGUAAUACGGAGGGUGCAAGCGUUAUCCGGAUUCACUGGGUUUAAAGGGUGCGUAGGCGGAUUGUUAAGUCAGUGGUGAAAUCAACGGGCU